rnacentral:rRNA from 2 species
UUUUUGUUUGGAGAGUUUGAUUCUGGCUCAGGACGAACGCUGGCGGCGUGCUUAACACAUGCAAGUCGAACGGAAAGGCCCUUCGGGGUACUCGAGUGGCGAACGGGUGAGUAACACGUGGGUGAUCUGCCCUGCACUUUGGGAUAAGCCUGGGAAACUGGGUCUAAUACCGAAUAUGACCAUGCACUUCCUGGUGUGUGGUGGAAAGCUUUUGCGGUGUGGGAU